CUGCUCCUUCCAGCUUGGCUGCCGCCGCUACCUCUCCAGGUCCAAGGCAGCCUUCCUCCCGUGGGAUCCCAAGCACCAGCGGCACCUUCCUCCAUGGGAUGCGGGGCUGAAGGUGCUGCCCGGUGACAUGUAAGGGAAGGUCGCAGCGUGACUAUGGAGUGGGUCACGGCGACCCCAGCCUCGGGCAGAUCCAGGCAUCCAUGUGGACCCCGGCCACGGCGACCUAAGGCGGAUCCAGUGCCCGCGACAACAGCGACCCCGAGUCGGGCGAACCCAGGCGUCUGGAUCCAAAGGUUCGCGUCGACCUCGGCGUAAGCCACGGCGGCCUCGGGCGGAUCCAGCGGCCGUGGUCCUCUUCCAACAUGGAAGCUUUGAGGGCAGAACCUUGUCGCUGAAGGUGAGACAUGAGUAUCCAGUGUGCAGGUUGUGUCCCAGGUGCUCUCCAAGAACAACUUGAACAUUUUCCUCAAGAAUGUUGGCAUCAAACCAGCGGCAUCCUCCAACUCAGUAGCAUCAAAUGGAAGCUGGAGAGGACACAAAGGGAGAUAAAGGGAGAUGCAGGAGAUGAAGCUAACAGAGAUAAACAACAAGGCAAUGGAGGAGAACAAUGCGCUCUCAAGCGUAUCUUGUCCCUCAACAACUCUUCUUCGACAUGAGCGUUGCUCGUAGCUGCUGGUUGAUUGAGCAAAGGGUCUGUGCAAGUGAUUUUGUUGCUAGUGCUUGGCAAAAACUUGUGUUGCUGGUUGUAGGAAUUUCCCAAAACUUAUAGCUGGUGGUGGUUGGCGAAUCGAGUUUAGUAGUGUUGCUGGUGAACUAAGGUCAUGCACUUAUGUUGCUUUUUAAAUGAGAUUAUGCAGUUGUCGAAUGCUGGAUUUGUUACUUUGUGCAAGCUUUUGUUCAUUUUAAUGUUAUUUGUAUUUUGUAAUGAAA